rnacentral:ncRNA from 1 species
AACGGAGGCGCCCAAAGGUUCCCUCAGAAUGGUUGGAAAUCAUUCGCAGAGUGUAAAGGCACAAGGGAGCUUGACUGCGAGACCUACAAGUCGGGCAGGGACGAAAGUCGGGCUUAGUGAUCCGGUGGUUCCGCAUGGAAGGGCCAUCGCUCAACGGAUAAAAGCUACCCCGGGGAUAACAGGCUUAUCUCCCCCAAGAGUCCACAUCGACGGGGAGGUUUGGCACCUCGAUGUCGGCUCAUCGCAUCCUGGGGCUGUAGUCGGUCCCAAGGGUUGGGCUGUUCGCCCAUUAAAGCGGUACGCGAGCUGGGUUCAGAACGUCGUG